UAUACCCUACUCUAUUUGCAUCUUGAACAAAUUAUCGAUUCAUAUAGAGAAGAUAGCACUAUACCAGUUGACAAAUUCAGUUCUUUGCGUUUAGAGCCGUUGUUGGCCGAUGCGUUGUGCGCGACUUUGUCAUGCAACCGUUCAUACUCUGGCACGAUACUACCCCGCACGCCCUACACGAAGAUCUUGACGUUCGGUCUUAUACGGUUCAAUCGAUCGACGAGUUCAAGGUGACAAAGCGCGCGAACUCAGGAAGGAGUCCAUACCGGUGUUAUGAUAAUAUUUCCAGUAUCUCAAUCCACCGACGCUAUUGGAGUCGCGGCAUGAAUCAAGAUUACAAAAUGUUGGACAACCGGCGGCAUCACAGCUUGACACAAGCAAACCAGGAGUUUGCAUGACUUAUUUCAGAUUCUUUUUGGAGAACCUGUCUGUAGCAUAGGUUCUCCUCUAUUUUGAAAGUCCGGAGUAGGUUUUUCAGAUAGGUUAGCUUUAAAAAAUUAGUGCAAAUUAAUCGUGUAUUUUCGAUAGGAGAUGUCAGGGCUAAAAUCAGGUUUAAAUUCGUGCCGUACUUUUAGCAAAAUAUGCUAUAGUAUGCACCAAUCAAUUCUGCGUAUUUUAUUCAGGAUUAAGCAAAUUUCGUUGUAAUAAAAUUCCUUUGAGAGGAGGUCGCUUUUUUUGUAGGAAGUGUGUUUAGAAAUACGACAAAAUAUAGCACCGUCACAUGGCAGAUUCCCCAAAUGUGAACCAGUUAAGUCAGAGUGGUCAUCCUUAUCCUAUCGAUGCACAACAAAUUUUGUUACAAGUAAACCAGAUAUGCGAAAGUUACGUAAAUUUUGAAAUAUCCUAGAAAAUACAUUAUUGAUUUGGGUUUAGUUAAUGUCUAGGCAUGUAAUGGGUCUGUCUAACUAUGAUAGCUUCCGACGUGCACGUUAGUGUCUCAAAGAGAGCGCAAGGAACCUGUGUGUCCAAAUGGUUAAAGGAGAAAGCCUGAACUAGGAAGUAUAACUGUAUGUAGGAAGUAUAAGCUGAUCAGUCUGGUUGGUUUAAAACAAGUCAACCUACGAAACCUCUAUAUUUCGAAUUUAUCAUUUUGCCUCUCAUCACCAUCAGAUAGGUAGAUCCCUGCAUGAAACGAAAUCUAGCUAUACCCGGAUUCGCAUCUAGACCACAAUGUGUCGCUAAGAUUAGCAGGCCUACAUAACCUAAGCCGAAGCUAGCCUUUUCAGGAUGAAUCGACUACAGAGAACUCGUCAAAGGCUUGCAGCAGUCACAAAAUUAUGUUGUUAAACAAUGCAUAUUGUUAUUAUGGCUAGGUGCCAGAAGACAAAGUAUGCAAGAAAAAGCGGCGUUUGAUGUUCCUACUGGAAUCUGUUUCGCAGAAGCUAGAAAAAAUGCAUAAAGCUAACAUUUCAAUUUACGCAGCUGCAAAGCUUCAAAUGUAGUGAGGUUUAGGAAACUAGGAGUCAAUGUUCGAAACGCUUGUGCAGGACAUUAAUUUUAUAGUUAGCAUAAAAAAACUAUGAGUGCUUACCUGCAAGUGGCAUGGUGACAUCAUCCUUUGUCAUCCAGUUCUCGGAGCUCGUUUCCACAAAACUAGAUACACACCAAAUGCCGUUUAACGCUGUCCUAUUUCAAUAGGUCUAGACUGAAAAUAGAUUGAAAUCAAUAGGUCGAAUUGAAACCCGCAUAGUUCGAAGCCGAAUUUUGAACCCAAACAUGCUCCAGUUGUUCAAUCACCCCGUCGCCUUGUUUUCCUUAGCCGACUGGUGUUAACUUGUUGUCAUGAUAUAUUUCUCUCGAUAUGGAGUUCUAAUUACCUAUUUAAUACAUCCAGGUCAUUGUGUUCUGUUGCUGUGUUAUCUCGUCAACCUGUCAUAGUCGUUUUUUUUCACGUUGUGUUAGAUAUUCUGUUAGCUCGGUUCGAUUAUUUAUGCUUCACUAACUCAGAUACUCCAAUAUUAUUUUCUAGUUAGGGUGAUGUCUUAUAAUAACAAGAAUUCUAUUCACCUUUGUUAAUGAUCUCGUAGUUUCAACACCAUUGUGAUUUCUUAGGCGCUCGUGAUGAUUCUGCUAUCUCAAAGUUAAAUUUAAUUUGUCCUUUAAAAAUAUUAUGUGAACAUAAGGCCGCUUGAGACACAACUUAAACAAGCAAUAGGAAAAUGCCGAUAUUUCCUCACAAAAUACGCGAUGUUCCACUAUAUGACAGAAGACAAGCAUAAUUAGUUUUUCUACCUACUAUGUAGGGUUCGAAAACCUAAGCCACUAUUAUAUACUUACGUACUUCACAAAUGUCCAACCUCUAAUGAGAGACUUGGUAUACCUCUAAUGAGAAAAGUAUUUUCUCCAGUUUAAAGUACUCUAUGAAAAAGCUUUUCAUCUCUUUUCCAGAUACAUCGCUGUAUUCUGGAGGCUUUUUUUGCCUCAAAAAAUGCAUUUGAGGUUUUGGUUCGGAUGGUCGGCGCGUAGAUGCAAACGAUAACUCAUUAUUGAGUGCAGGAGAAGAUGUUUAAUUCUACACAGCUGUAUCAGGUAGUCAGGUAUUCGGGCAGUUGGACCCGACAUCUAAUACCAGAUGUCAGGAAAUGGAUUCGCGGCAGUCAUGGAGAGCUAACAUAUCAUUCCUGCCAAGUCUUGUCGGGUCAUGGACAGUUCCAGACAUAUAUGACAAAGAUCGGCAAAACGCAAGUGGACAUUUGUGUGCUCUGCGUGUCGGGCAUGAAGGACGGAGUAGAACAUACUCUUCUUCACUGCAAGGCACUUAAAGCGGUCAGAGACAAGCAGGUACACAGAGAAGUAGCAACAAAGGGCAGUACUAGGGAGAUGGUGGAUAUGAUAACAAAAGACAGGACGAACUGGGCCAAAGUUACGGCUUUCUUUGACGAUAUUAUGAAAACAAAAGAACAACUAGAAAGGAUGAGACGUAAGAGAAUAGAGAAGAAAAAAAAAGGUAGUCAGGUAUUAAGGUGCUAGAUUUGUUCCGUAAUUGGUAUUGGUGCCCUUUAUAUACGCGAGAUAUGACGCAUAAAACAUGUGAGUCUUCCUUUUUGCGACCAAUACAAACAUUGGACUUGUGUGUUUAAAUAAAAGUCUAUUGAAGGUUUCUAACUGUUUCCAUCCUUCUUAGCCACCCCCAUGUUGGAAGUUUCUUUAAAUGGUAUGCAACAAUUGCUAAUCAUGAGGCCUAUAAAAGUGUGUGUGUGUGUGAUUAUUGAAGAAUUUAAAUAUGAAAUUUGUUUUCUCUAAUAUUUACUAGAGACUAUACAGCAAGAAUUUCAUUGUAAUAAUCAGCACGGGAAUUAGAGGUAGACGAGAAAGAUGAUUCAAAAUGAAUACUUCUCUCUACUGCACCGACUUCUAUUAUCAGUGUGGU